rnacentral:rRNA from 1 species
AUUGAACGCUAGCGGCAGGCUUAACACAUGCAAGUCGAGCGAGCGGCGGACGGGUGAGUAAUGUCUGGGAAACUGCCUGAUGGAGGGGGAUAACUACUGGAAACGGUAGCUAAUACCGCAUAACAUCAGAUGUGCCCAGAUGGGAUUCGCUAGUAGGUGGGGUAAUGGCUCACCUAGGCGACGAUCCCUAGCUGGUCUGAGAGGAUGCACAGCAAAACGGGAACGUAGACACGGUCCAGACUCAUACGGGAGGCAGCAGGGGGGAAUAUUGCACAAGGGGCGCAAGCCUGAUGCAGCCAUGCGGCGUGUGUGAAGAAGGCCUUCGGGUUGUAAAGCACUGUCAGCGAGGAGGCGUUACUCGCAGAAGAAGCACCGGCUAACUCCGUGCCAGCAGCCGCGGUAAUUC